rnacentral:ncRNA from 1 species
UUUGAAAAAGGCAAACCAAUCGUGAGAUUGGGACGCAAAGCUAUGGGUCUUCAAUGAAGAAUGAAGAAUGCCAAGUUGCCAUGU